rnacentral:rRNA from 1 species
CUAGCGACUUCAGAGUUUGAUCCUGGCUCAGGAUGAACGCUGGCGGCGUGCUUAACACAUGCAAGUCGAACGGACUUUACAUGAAGCCUAGCGAUUGUAAAGUUAGUGGCGGACGGGUGAGUAACGCGUGAAUAACCUGCCUUAUACUGGGGGACAACAGUUGGAAACGACUGCUAAUACCGCAUAAGCGCACAGCUUCGCAUGAAGCAGUGUGAAAAACUCCGGUGGUAUAAGAUGGAUUCGCGUCUGAUUAGCUAGUUGGUGAAGUAACGGCUCACCAAGGCGACGAUCAGUAGCCGGCCUGAGAGGGUGAACGGCCACAUUGGGACUGAGACACGGCCCAA